CCAAACCUUAUAAUGCCUUUGGAAGGGGAGACAUUUAAGAAUACAAAAUCUCCGAUUUCAAACUCAAUAUCUCGUCUUCUAUUGUCAGCAUAACUCUUUUGACGACUCUGAGCAGCUUUUAACCUUUUCCUUGUAACUUGAAUUUUCUCGGUAGUUUCUUGUACUUUGUCCGGUGCUAAUAACUUUCUGUCACCAACUUCCUCCCAACAUAUAGGUGUUAUGCACUUUCGCCCAUAUAAAGCUUCAUAAGG
rnacentral:lncRNA from 1 species